UUUUUUCCAAUUUCUAGUUUUUAAAAAGUAGAAAUUGAAGAAAAAAACUGGCUGUACUUUUUUACUUUUUUAGUUUUUGGUACGUA
rnacentral:ribozyme from 13 species